rnacentral:rRNA from 1 species
AUUGAACGCUGGCGGCAGGCCUAACACAUGCAAGUCGGACGGUAGCACAGAGAGCUUGCUCUUGGGUGACGAGUGGCGGACGGGUGAGUAAUGUCUGGGGAUCUGCCCGAUAGAGGGGGAUAACCACUGGAAACGGUGGCUAAUACCGCAUAACGUCGCAAGACCAAAGAGGGGGACCUUCGGGCCUCUCACUAUCGGAUGAACCCAGAUGGGAUUAGCUAGUAGGCGGGGUAAUGGCCCACCUAGGCGACGAUCCCUAGCUGGUCUGAGAGGAUAGCCAGCCACACUGGAACUGAGACACGGUCCAGACGCCUGCGGGAGGCAGCAGGGGGGAAUAUUGCACAACGGGCGCAAGCCUGAUGCAGCCAUGCCGCGUGUAUGAAGAAGGCCUUCGGGUUGUAAAGUACUUUCAGCGGGGAGGAAGGCGGUGAGGUUAAUAACCUCGCCGAUUGACGUUACCCGCAGAAGAAGCACCGGCUAACUCCGUGCCAGCCGCCGCAGUAA